GAAUGAGGUGAGAUAAGGGAGGUAAAUGAGGUGAGAUAAGGGAGGUAAAUGAGGUGAGAUAAGGGAGGUAAAUGAGGUGAGAUAAGGGAGGUAAAUGCAAUAAAAAGAAAAUAAAUAAUAAAAAAUAAAUAACAAUGUAAUCCAUUAUAGAACAAGGCUGUAACGUAACAACACGUGGAGAAAGUCAAGGGGUCUGAAAGCACUGUAUACAUUGCGAAAAACAAACAUUAGGUUCACCUUCCUAAUAUUGAGUUGCGCACCCCCCCCCCCCCCCUUUGCCCCCAGAACAGGCUCAAUUCGAGAUGUUGAAUGCCUUCCAUGGGAAUGCUGGCCCAUGUUGACUCCAAUGCUUCCAACAGUUGUGUCAAGAUGGCUGGAUGUCCUUUGGGUGGUGGACCAUUCUUGAUACACACGGGGAAACUGUUGAGCGUGAAAAACUCAGCAGCAUUGCAGUUCUUGAUUACAAACCGGUGCGCCUGGCACCUACUACCAUACCCCGUUCGAAGGCACUUAUAUAUUGUUUCUUUCCCAGUCACCCUCUGAAUGACACACAUACACAAUCCAUGUCGCAAUUAUCUCAAGGCUUAAAAAUCCUUCUUUAACCCGUCUCCUCCCCUUCAUCUACACUGAUUGAAGUGGAUUUAACAGGUGACAUCAAUAAGGGAUCAUAGCUUUCACCUGGACUCACCUGGUCAGUCUAUGUCAUGGAAAGAGCAGGUGUUCUUAAUGUUUUGUACACUCAGUGUAUGAAUCUAUUUCUUGAUUUCUAUGUAUUUGUUUUGUAUUGUUAGAUAUUACUGCACUGUUGGAGAUAAGACACACAUGCGGUAACAACUUGGUCGAUUUGACACUCAUUGCUUAACCCGUAGCCCUGGUAAAGCCGACAGACUCCCUGCAUAUUCCUCAGUCCAACACGUCCUCGUCCAGUUAAUAGGCAGCGUCAUUUGAAGACGUGAGACAAAGAGACAGGGACCACGUCUUCCUCCCAGUCCCCAACGCUGCUGCUGGUCUCCAGGUCCUGGGCCUCCGACCUCUUCAGAGGAACCAUGACCUUCGACCCCAUAGGGACCAACACAGACGGAACCUACAGGCGAUCGUUGGCAAUGCGUGCGUGAUCUGCAACGAGACGAGCAUGAUGGUGGCUUUGGAGAAGGCCUCCAUCGUGGGUCUCCAUGAGAACCAUCUGCAUCUCAGCGACCUGUCUUGCAGCCUGAGCUCUAAUGUCUACCACUGUCUUCAGGACCAUGGGUCUCAGCGAUUGCGGAACCAAGCUGGAGGAGGCUGAGUGGGUGGAGCUUGAGUUCUGCUGUGUCUAACCCCCAAAGAAGGGCAACCUGGAAUCGCUGAUUCCAAGAGAAAGGCUUUAGGAAGGUCACCUACUAUCAUCAGGAUGGUGGAUCCAGCCAGUUACCCAGUGGAGGUGGAUCUGAAGGAGAUGGUCGACACGUCCACAACCUCCGUCCACAACACUGAGAUGUUUGUGGAGUCCCGCAAGACCACGCUCUCAGACAACCCGGAUGAUCCUGACCACUACAGCAUCAUCCAAAAUGGGUCAGGGACAACAACAAAAACACAUUGGUUCCUUGUUGUAUACGUUCAUCAUAUACUUUACUGCAGCACCGGUUAUAACACUAUAUACAGGGGCCUCCCGGGUGGCGCGGUGCCACCAGAGACUCUGGGUUCGCGCCCAGGCUCUGUCGUAUCCGGCCGCGACCGGGAGGUCCGCACAAUUGGCUGAGCGUCGUCCAGGUUAGGGAGGGUUUGGCCGGUAGGGAUGUCCUUGUCUCAUCGCGCACCAGCGACUCCUGUGGCGGGCCGGGCGCAGUAGCACGCUAACGCACGGCUGGCUUUCAGGUUGGACGCGCUAAACGUGUUAAAGAAGCAGUGUGGCUUGGUUGGGUUGUGUAUCGGAGGACACAUGACCUUCGACCUUCGUCUCUCCUGAGCCCGUACGGGAGUUGUAGCAAUAAGACAAGAUAGUAGCUACUAACAAUUGGAUACCACGAAAUUGGGGAGAAAAAGGGGGUAAAAAAAUAUAUUUAAAAAAAAUAACACUAUAUACAUACUUAUAUAUACUUUAUAUACAACAGUAGUUGUGCUAAUCCCUUUCGUAAGAACGUUUUGGAACGACACACUUAAUUUGACCCUAUUUUCUUUCACAAGCUGCAAGGAGGACGAAACGGGUUGAGAUCUCCUCCCUCAUCCCAGUUCCAUUUUGCAACGGAAGCUUUUUCAAGUUCAUUGACCAGGUGGGUUAUUGGGCACCUGCUUGGUUUUCCUUGCCAAACUAUAUGGGUUUGACUGUGGGUUGGAAGUUAUGUCAUCUUUUCUAAAAUAGCCUUUGGGAAGUAUUCGGACCCCCUUGACGUUACAUUACAGCCUAAAAUGGAUUAAAUUGUUGGUUUUUCCCACUUAUCAAUUUACACACAACACCCCAUAAUGACAAAGAAAAACAGAUUUUGUUUAGACAUUUUACCAAAUUUAUAACAAAUAAAAAAUGAGUAUUCAGACCCUUUACUCAGUACUUUGUUGAAGCAACUUUGGCAGCGAUUACAGCAUCGAACCUUUUACUUAGUACUUUGUUGAAGCACCUU